UUUUAAAAGCCAUAGAAUGUCAGUCAGCCAAAUGCCUGGUUGAAGAGAAACGUUUUUCCUUUUACAUCUACCACAACAAUGUCCCAGUCUAAGGCUUGUGUGUAAAACUCACACACAGCACGCUCUCAGUCUGCUUAUAAUUGCUUGUAAGCAUAACCUGAUGUGUUCUUGCCUCCAGGCUAUCACCAGGCAAGAUUUGAGCAGUUAUAAAUGAAGGUGAGGAAAGAAAGAAAGAAGAAAACAUGAAAUGUUAAGAUGACUGUGACAGCAAAGUCUUAGAGGAAAAGGAGGCAAGAAAAUGAGUUCUUCUUGCAAGGGCGUGGACACUUUUUUCUGGCAAGAAUUGCACAGCUAAGCAUAUUCUACAGUUAUUUGUUCCAUUGCAGCCUUUGCCCAUGAUAUUGAGGGUUACUGCCAAAUAUAUUCAGGGAUUCUUGGGUCGUGCUGUUUAUCCAGUUUUACAGAAGACAAUUGGUUAUCAUCUCAGCAAAGUCAGCUUGCAAACGCUGCUGAUUCUCCCUGGAAAUAGAAGGAGAAAAUUGGUUUAAGUGACUCGAGAGAUAUAUUUA